GCUUACGCCCCCGGGCCCGCGCCCGCCGAAGACACCCUCGAACUCUGUCUGAAGAUUGUAGUCUGAGUGAAAAUAUAAAUUAUUUAAAACUUUCAACAACGGAUCUCUUGGUUCCGGCAUCGAUGAAGAACGCAGCGAAAUGCGAUACGUAAUGUGAAUUGCAAAUUCAG
rnacentral:rRNA from 1 species